AACGAACGCUGGCGGCAGGCCUAACACAUGCAAGUCGAACGCUCGUAGCAAUACGAGAGUGGCAGACGGGUGAGUAACGCGUGGGAACCUUCCCAGUGGUACGGAAUAGCUCAGGGAAACUUGAGGUAAUACCGUAUACGCCCUUCGGGGGAAAGAUUUAUCGCCAUUGGAUGGGCCCGCGUCGGAUUAGCUAGUUGGUGGGGUAAUGGCUCACCAAGGCGACGAUCCGUAGCUGGUCUGAGAGGAUGAUCAGCCACACUGGGACUGAGACACGGCCCAGACUCCUACGGGAGGCAACAGUGGGGAAUAUUGGACAAUGGGCGCAAGCCUGAUCCAGCCAUGCCGCGUGAGUGACGAAGGCCCUAGGGUUGUAAAGCUCUUUUGGCGGGGAAGAUAAUGACGGUACCCGCAGAAUAAGCUCCGGCUAACUUCGUGCCAGCCGCCGCGGUAAUAC
rnacentral:rRNA from 1 species